GUCUAAUUGUUGUGGUGGCUCUAAUCUUGAUCAGAGGCUUCUUCUCCCUUGGUGGAACAAUGAAUUAGGGUUGAGAGGCUCUCUCCUCCAGGGGCCAGGGGGUCUGGUUUUAUAGUCCCUUCAAGUGAAUAUGGGCCCUUGGAUCAAACCGACAUAGAUUGUAUGGUUUAGAUUCAUCCUUUAGGUUGGUGGAGAUCUCCCGCAAAGCAGAGUCCUGAUUGGACUCAGGGGCAGGGUGGGCGCCCUGACCAACUGGGCGGCCGCCCAGGGUCUGGCCCCGUUUCGCCUCCGCUUCGGUCUCGUGGCUUCUGGAGUCUUCUAGAUGUAAGAUAAUUGCGCAGCACGUUAAUAUCUUUACGUAAUCCUGACAUGUGGGCCUUUCUUCCAUAUUUCCUGAUAACCCUCUGCAGAAAUAGACAAACACCAAAACUCGUGGAAUUCUGUCAGAUAAAACCCUAAGUCUAGAUGUUGAUUUCAUUUGGGUCCUUUUCUUUAUUUAUUUGAUAAUUAAAUUUGAUACUUAAGGACCGUCAACAAACUCCCCCAAGCUUACCUCUUGCUCGUCCCUGAGCAAAGAUAGACUCAGCUAUGGAUCAUAAGUUGUUGCAAUAUAUAUAUAUAUAUAUAUAUAUAUUUUAAAAAAAAAUUGACGGUACACAUGCUUUUUAAAUAAGAUCUCAUCUCUGAGUAAGAGUAAACUGUCAAGACUUAAAACUUACUUACUUUACCUUUACCAUGGGACUUGUAACUGUCACUUCUGUCUUGAGUGGUUAAAAGAUAGAACAGUCUAGCCAAGUGCCAUGUCUCUUAUUCUUGAUCAGCUAUAGCUCUGGGGUUUUUGCAGAUUUUCAAAUAAAACUCAGAAAUUCCUUGUAUGAUUCUCUCAGGUCUCUCUUUUGUGGUAUUUUUGGAUCCUUACCAAGGCAUUGAUGGUAUAUGCCUUCUCUCAAGAUAUGUAGUAUUUGUGGUAUAAGGCAUAGUGACAUUGCCUUCUCUCUCACCCUACUCUAAUAAGGCUUUAAUAUCUGGAGCUCAUAGGUGGGAGAUAAAAUAUACAUACUUACAAGACAUUUAUUGCAUAGUCAAACCAUGGAUCCAAAGUAACAAGCCAAUAAGUUUAAUCAAGAUGUGCAUGGGUGGCGAAUGAAUGGUGUAUGGUGGUGAUGGUGAUAACAAUGGUGAAAACAAUGGUGGUGGAAGUCUAAUUCUACUUUGCUCUUUGAGGGGAUACAUACCUUCCUUGCUAUUGAAACUUUAUGAGGAGAAUGAGAUGCUCUUUUUUUUUUUUCAGGUGGGUAUCUUGCACCCCUAAUUCUAAUGUCGGACACUUGUCCAUUUUUACCUCUCGUCUCACUUUUUCUUUUCUUUCGAGGUUCCGAGCACUUGCUCCUUUUUAUUUCCUCGUAUAUUUUUUUUAGAGCACUCAUCUCUUGAGAUAAUAUAGCAAGUGGUAGUAACAAGAUAACUUGAGCAUUUAUUUCGCAAGGGGAAAAUAGAAAUAUUUUUGGUUAUUCUCUCCCGGAUUAGGAGUAGAAUAUUUUUGGGUGAUUCUGGAGAUGGAAUGGGUGGAUAUAUGUGGAUGGUACUUCUGGAGUAGAAGCAGCAUAUAUGAGUGAACGUGCAAGUGAAUCUUGAUUUAACCACAUGACAGGCUCCUAAGGGUCUACACAGCUUGACCACACUCAAUGCUCAUAAGCAGUAAAUAUUAAAUGUGUGGCUCAAAGUCUAGCAAGCAUGUAUAUAUGGCUGUGCUAGGAAUUUAAACUCUCAUCAUACAGGAACUCAUCAUGCAACAUUUUAAAGAUUUUCAAAGAUAAAAUUCUCUAGAAUUCUAGCAUCUCUAGGAACAGAUAAACAGCAGCUCAACCUUCCCAUAUCAUAUCCGUUAACAACUUAGACUUCAGAUCAAGUUUUCAUCUCACAAGUUUAGGUCUAGAGCAAGCUUUAAAUUAUAACAGUUAUAUCUAAACUUGAGAGAGAACUUAAAAUUUGCAAAUUAGGCAGAGCAACUAUUUAUCAUAUCCAUGCUUAAGUUUUAUUUAGAUACAGAUUAGCAUAGCCACUUUAUUUAUUUAUUAAACACACUAAGCAAAAGACAUAUAUAAGCAUAAAAUCUUUAUUUGGUUUUCCCAUAGUUUAUGUGUAUUUUAAUAUUUUAAAAUAAUAUAAGUAUAAAGAUAGAUAGAAAUACUUAUCGUGAUAAAUGGGGGUGCUCUCCCUCAAGCUCAAUUUUGACGUAAUUUCUCUUGGUGUAGCUAGCAGGUGGUAGAGGUGUAUUUGAAAGUCAGCAACAUUCUGACAGCGAUUAGAAUGUCCUCCGUCUGCUAGUCUUCUUGAUUCUUAAAUUUCAGUGGAGCUCAAAUAGACAACAAAGCUUGUGGAACUGAUUAAGUGUUAGCAUAAAUAUCUAGCCUUUAUUAUCUUGACACUCCUUAAUAAAUGUUACUCCCUGUUUUUAUAUUUUUGUUUUAUAAAGCAGAAAAAUAUUUAUUUUAUUUUUAUGCCACCACAGUGAAUGUACUUAUGGGUUUUAUGCCACUCGUCUACUCACAUGGGGCUUACUGUUUUUUCACAUUUUUAUUUUCUUUUUAAGAUAGUGUGAAUAUGAUUAACUAUGUAAACUAUUUGAAAUAACUGAAAGGGAAAGGAUAACUACCAAGUUUACCUCUUGGCAAGGCGUUCGGUGUUUUUAAGUCCUCCGAACGGGACUCUCCAAUUUCUUAAUUGUCAUGAGGUUCGUUGGGUGGCGUAGUCGGUACUUCCGGCAGCGCCUCCUCUUCUUGUAUAGUUAUCUUCAUUUUCCAUACCUGACUCGGUGCUUCAAUCUCCUCUGGAUAAUUCUGUUUAAACUCUACGUCUUCUGACCUUACAACUUCUCCUUCAUAGUCUGCCCAUCCGUCCUUGAUGAUCUGCCUCCUCUGGUUGCGGUUGCGUCUUUUUCUGACCUACUUAGAUUCUUCAAUGAUAUAGUCAGGGUCAAUAAAAUAACGGCGUACCUUCUCUGAGGGGAAGUGCAUAUGGACUUCUCCGGUUCCAAUGUAGAUAAUUGCUUUAAUGGUGCUGAGGAAGGGUCUUCCAAGGAUGAUGGGUGGAUCAUACUCAUCUUCUCCCAUGUCAACAACUUGAAAGUCUGUGUUGACAAAGUGAUCGUCUAUUUUGACUGGGACAUCAGAUACUAUUCCUUUAACUUCUCGAAAUGUCUGAUCUGCCAUCUGGAGCUGAAUGUAUGUUGGUCUUAGUGGCAUGGUCCCGAACAAGAGCCGAUAAGUGACUGCGGCCAUUAUGUUGACGCCCGAUCCGGUGUCGCAAAUCGUCUUGUAGAAGUUGUAUCCAUUUAUGGAGCAGUAGAUGCUUGGCAUUCCUGGGUCGUCCUUCUUGGUCAAAAAUGGUGACUUAAGUUGAUGAUCUUGGCCUCCAUGGACUACAGUGACCAUCUUAGCUGACUCGGUCCACACUUGCUUGUUCCUGUUUCUCCUGUUGGUACUCUUCCUUGAUUCACGUCUGGAUUCAUCUUGAAUUUGUAUAGUCUUGUUCUUGAAGAAAAAUGUCUCCUUCUCCCCUUUGACAUAGAAACUGAUCUUGGCAGCACUAGCGUAGAUGAUAGCUCCCGUGGUGUUCAAGAAUGGCCUCCCUAGGAUGAUAGGUGCUCUCUCAUCAUUUCCGGUCUCUACCACUACGAAGUCUGCUGGGGCAUACAAGGUACCAACUCGGACACAAAGGUUCCUCACUAUUCCGUUUGGGAAAGUUAUCGUCUGAUCUGCAAACUGCAAACACAUGGUUGUCUCUAAUAAAGGAUAUGUAAAGAAUUUCUCAUAGAGUACCCUGGGUAUAAUGUUGACACUGGAGCCAAAGUCACAGAGUGCUUCUGGGAUAUCCACCAUGCCGAUAGAGAUCGGGAUGACGGGGCGUCCUGGAUCGCCUCUCUUGACCGGCAGAAGGUCAGUAGAAAAUUCAGUGACGGGGUUACUCCAAUUACCUGCAUCAAACAUGUCUACAAGAUUUGCAGAUUCUAAUCCUUCUGGUUGUGAUGGUAUACCGGGGUUAGUAGUAGGAACAGCAGCAGCUAUUUGAUUUAAUUGGGAUUCAAUCAUUUUAUUAAAGCUAAUUUGAUUCUUGAUGGCAGUAGAGAAAUUAUCCAUUCUAUUAUUUAUAUUUUCUAGCAUUUUAUCAUUAGAUGCCAAUUUCUUAGAUAGGUUAUCCAUUAGCUUUCCUUGAUUAGAUACUAACUCUCUCAAAGGUGGAAAAUUAUUAUUAUUGUUGUAAGAAUUGUUACCUUCAUAAUUACCUGAGUAGUUAGGCCUCUGUUGAUUCCAACCUUGAUUUUGUUGAGGACGGUUGUAGUAGUAGUAGUUGUUGUUGUUGAUGUAGUUCACAUCCUCAAGCAUCUCAGGGCAGUGAUUGCCUGAGUGUCCAGUGUCUCCACACUCCUCACAAGUCAUGUGAGAGUCGUAGAUGUGCAUAACUUCUUUCUUGUCUCCAGCUCUAUCGUCGAGCUUCUUCAUGAACAGGUCUAGCUUUGCAGACAGCAUGUCUACCUCCUUCAGCUGAUGCAUACCUCCACCUCUCUUGCGUGUCUGGGUCCUCUCUUCAUUCCAGCUUUGGUUGGACGCCAUCUUCUCCACAAGAGCUGUGGCUUGUGGUAUAGUAAGUGAUAAGAAUGCUCCUCCAGCUGCAGCAUCCAUGGUCUCUCGGGCACUGUUGCCGAGCCCAUGAUAAAAUGUCUGCAUCAAUAGCCAACUCUCCAUUCCAUGAUGGGGACAUUCUAGGAUGUAGUCUUGAAAGCGCUCCCAUGCUUCUGGAAUAGAUUCAUCAUUUUGUUGCUGAAAACUUGUAAUCUUCCCACGGAGAGCAUUGGUCUUGCCCAUGGGAAAGAACUUAGCCAGGAAGUUUGUUGAGCAGAGUGCCCACGUAGUAUUCUUCUCCUUUGUAGCGUAGAACCACUGCUUCGCUCUUCCUAACAGUGAGAAUGGGAAGAGGCGAAGUAGUAUAGCAUCUUUGGAAACUCCUUGUAUGGUGAAUGUGUUGCAAAUCUCCAGGAAGUGUUAUAAAUGAGCACUAGCAUCUUCGUGUGCCUUCCCACAGAACUGGUUGGAUUGCACCAUGUUGAUAAGUCCAGGCUUGAGCUCAAAGUUGCCAUCGAUCUCUGCAGCAGGUCCAGUGCGGAUGUUGUCCGUAAUGGGAGGUGAGAACUCGCGGAUCGAUUUGUUCGCCAUGGCUUCGAACUCUGAAGACAAGUUCCGGUGAUCUUCUUGAUUGGAUGAAGCUUCUUGCUGAAGUGUUGAUGAUUUCUUUAGCUUGGCUCUCGUCUUCUUGAAUAAUGCUUUGGGAUUGUCAACAAAAUUUCCUGGAAGAUGUCUUCUAUUCAUACAUUCCCCUGCAUAAGAUAAAAUAGAAAAAUAUCGGGGUAAAACUGUAUGAGAGAAUAGAUAAGCUCAAUCAUAUUAGUGAUGCGAAUGAUAACUCAAAAUCUUUUAUUCCAUUCCUGAUUAGUAAUCAACCUUCCCUGGCAACGGCGCCAAAAAUGCUUGUUGGGUAUUCUUAACAUCAUUACUAAAAGUAGACUAAGUUCUAAAUCUAGCAACGGUGCCAAAAGUGCCAAACCUAUCCCUCACACCACUUAAGCCAAGUUGUCAUCCCUAGCAUGACAUGAGAGACGCGGUAUUGAAAUAUGCAAUUGCUCUUCUAAAUAAAUAAUGAAUGGGAUCUGCAAGCGCACAGAUUAAUACCGAUGCAGCAUUUUAACCGGGAAGUAUUCCAGGUAUCGUUAUUUAUAUUUUUACCACUGGGAAGGGAUUAGCAAUCAUCAAUAUUGAUUACAGAAUAGAAUAUGAGAUUGAGCAUCUAUCAUUGCAUGUAUAAUUGAGAACAUUAUAUCUAACUCUUCAUACAGGGAUAAGUGUCACAUAAAGGAUAUAUGAAAUAAUAAUAGUGACAAAGAUAACUAAUCUGAUCUAGCCACAUAAUAAAUAUGAUAAGCACCUCAAUUAGAUACUCUAGAAAGUCAUUAGCAUGGUAUUAGAACGAACUACAAGAAUAUUCCCUAAGUUAUUCUCAACUAUAUAGUCUAGCAUUAUCAUAGUUAGUGCAAGCAUACUUAGCAAUCAUUGUGAGAUAAGACUACGCCCAUGCAUAGUGAUAUUAGCAAGGAAUAUGAGAAACAUAGCAAUCACUCCCCUGUAAUAAUGUUGCUCUGCCAGCCCAGUACAUGAGAGGGGGACUAUAUAAGAAUCAAUGAAGCUGUCACUAUCACGAACCACCCCACGAUCUGGCAUAUUGGGUACAAUUGCAGAUAAAUACGGUAUAAGCACCACGCCUACACAAUAUCUAUCAUUUACCCAUGGAUCCGAUGGAUAAACGCUAUACGAUCCUAAGCAUGUAUAUAGAUCGUAUCUAACUAAGCCAAGUACAUAACUAUGAUAAACUAAGAACAAUAUAAUCUUGAAUAUAAGCAAGUAGAGCAAAGUCAUAAGCAAUAUAUUGAAGUAGAACAAUGUCAUAUUCAUAGUAUUGAAGAACAAAGAUAAUUAGAAAGCAAUUAGAAGCACAAUUAGAGAAUUACCAAGAAUCCUCCUGACAGAUCCGGAAACCAAUCGAAGAUUGACUCCUUCUAGUUCUAAUCCUAUGUAGCUAUGCUAAUCUAGAUGUCUAAUUGAUGUGGUGGCUCUAAUCUUGAUCAGAGGCUUCUUCUCCCUUGAUGGAACAAUGAAUUAGGGUUGAGAGGCUCUCUCCUCCAGGGGCCAGGGGGUCUAGUUUUAUAGUCCCUUCAAGUGAAUAUGGGCCCUUGGAUCAAACCGACAUAGAUUGUAUGGUUUAGAUUCAUCCUUUAGGUCGGUGGAGAUCUCCCGCAAAGCAGAGUCCUG
rnacentral:lncRNA from 1 species